rnacentral:rRNA from 1 species
UGGGGAAUUUUGGACAAUGGGCGAAAGCCUGAUCCAGCAAUGCCGCGUGUGUGAAGAAGGCCUUCGGGUUGUAAAGCACUUUUGUCCGGAAAGAAAUCCUUGGCUCUAAUACAGUCGGGGGAUGACGGUACCGGAAGAAUAAGCACCGGCUAACUACGUGCCAGCAGCCGCGGUAAUACGUAGGGUGCAAGCGUUAAUCGGAAUUACUGGGCGUAAAGCGUGCGCAGGCGGUUUGCUAAGACCGAUGUGAAAUCCCCGGGCUCAACCUGGGAACUGCAUUGGUGACUGGCAGGCUAGAGUAUGGCAGAGGGGGGUAGAAUUCCACGUGUAGCAGUGAAAUGCGUAGAGAUGUGGAGGAAUACCGAUGGCGAAGGCAGCCCCCUGGGCCAAUACUGACGCUCAUGCACGAAAGCGUGGGGAGCAAACAGGAUUAGAUACCCUGGUAGUCCACGCCCUAAAACGAUGUCAACUAGUUGUUGGGGAUUCAUUUCCUUAGUAACGUAGCUAACGCGUGAAGUUGACCGCCUGGGGAGUACGGUCGCAAGAUUAAAACUCAAAGGAAUUGACGGGGUCAUAGCUGUUUCCU